UCUCUUUUUAUCUCGCAUGAUUCUCCUUCUAAAUAUGUUUUCAUUGUUUUCUAUAAUCAGACAAUUAUAUCCUUUCUUUUUGAGCUGAUAUCAAUAGUAAAACACUAAUGAUAAUGUAUUGAUUAGGAUGCCGUGUUUGCAAUGAUUAUUUUUAGUUGUAAAACACGGAAUUAAGGAAUUUCUCUUUGUAAUCCUUGUAACUUUACAUGUUAAAUGCACGUUUAUAUAUGCUUUUCUAGCUGGAAGUAGUAUUGCAAUGGAUUAUUUAUUUGCGUUUUAAGCAAUAAACAUAAUUUUAUUCUGAAAAUAUAAUUGAUUAAUUGGUCUCUUGGGUGUUCGGAGAGAGACAUAAAAUUGGAAAAAAAUAAUUAACUAAUUACAAAUCAUUUUCUUGAAAUAUCCAGUGGUUCUGGGAGCACAGUUGAGUGCAAUGGAUAUAUCAGAUGUAUCCUUAUUGCAGAUUCAGAAGCUAGUCAUAUUAAAGCUGUUUAAGUUCGUGUUUUAAUAAUCAAAUUUUAACAGCUGGUAAGUCUUUGUCUGAAGUACUAUACUUCCAGCAAUAGGAAGAAACAUAAAAUGAGUACUAAGACCAAUUAGAUUUUGUCAAGAUAGAAAUUUCAGUUCUAUUUGAAAACUCACAGUGCAGGAAAUCACAAAGAGCGGACUGCAUCCAAUCAAGAGUUUAUGAGGUAAUUUAUGCAUCCGCGUCUUAGGUACUGACACAGAAUGUAAGAAAAUUUGAAAUGUUGCAAAAUAAAAUGUAGUAGCAUAGGAGACAUCAUUGUUGGAGUGACUUAGAAAAUGUACAACCAGUAAGGUGCAAUUAUGUUCUUAAGAUUUAUCUCUCCUCGUUCGAUCAUCAGUCAGGUCAGAGAAGUAAUAGUUCUAAACCGUUCUUUCAUUAUGCUCAUUCCUUGUCUGAGGAUAUCUGAAAAAUGCAGUGUCUUGCCAUGUUUCCCAUCUGAGGUCCUCUAAAGCAAAAUUUCUGUGGUUCAAGCCUUUGAACAUGUCUUUGUUCUUCCACCAUGUGUUAAUUCAGAUUGUUAUCCAUAGUGACCGUAACUGUGUCGACUUCCGUUCCUUUGACGGGCAGCGUAUCUGGAAUCUCAUUCAGAUCAACUGAUGAUAUGGGUACAUCUAUUAGAGAGGAGCUCCAGACUUGCAAAUUGUCAUCUGCUGUUCCAGAAUGACCAGAUCGUCUAUCCUUGUCGGGACUUCUGCCUGGAAAAUUCAUGAGAGGCAAGUGACAAUUUUUGUGUGAGAACUCCUCUCUGUGGGUGGUUCUUCACUUCUGAACUCAUGUGAAUUAGUGGACAAAGAUACACAGAGAUAAAAAACAUGUUAUAUGUGAAUAUCAAUGCACAUGCAAUCUUUUUUUUUGAUAAGGUAUGCACAUACAAUCUAUUUCAAGUAAUAUGUUCCCCCCCGCUCUCCCUUACCACAGGUUGAUUAGAUUCCUCUGUGUUUGUAGAACUGAUGGGCACAUUCUCUUCCCUCUUUCACUCUAUAUGCUACUCACACUAUUUGUUAGAACAUGGCUGCAAAGAGUCUGAUGUUUCAGGAAUCUUCUUAGUAAAUGUCAAAGAUCAUGCUAGAACAAUUAUCAUGACUUUGCUACAAUGUUGAUAAACAUCCCUAAAUCUCUUUCAACUUCUGUACCUGACCCCUUGCUCCCUAUAGAUUGUAUUAUUCCCUUUCGGUCUGUCGCAAAAUGCAUUCUGCUUUCUAAAUUGAAAAUAUUGUUCCUUAAUUUAAAAUUAUUCCAAUUGAAUUUACAAAAUGCUUUCCAUGUAACUGACAAUCAAAAUCUUGCUUCUUUCCCUAUUUAUCAACUUUUGAAAGUUACACUAUUUUAAAAGUUACAACAACAACAAACCCAGCUUAAUCCCAUACGUGGGGGUCUGGGGAGGGUAAUGUGUACCAGCCUUACCCCUACCCUAUAAAGGCAGAGACACUAUUUUAAAAGUUGUAUCCACAUAAGUCUAGCACCUCUGUAGAGUCUUUGUCAAAGUGUCAAUACAACUCUCCUUGAUUAAAAAGAGAGUUAUAUGGAGAUCAAUUUAUUAUUAUACCAUCUCAACUUAUGAGAAAAAUUACUUCAACUCUAUACUUGGCUUCAGUUUCUCUAUAACACUACAUGAUUUCAACUUUUCUCCUUCCAUAGCAGAAGUCAGUAGAAUUUGGACAAUGGGAGUAUGAUUCAAAGCCGUUUAGGCGGGGAAAGUAAGCUGUGCACUCGAUACCAUCUUGAGAACAAGCUGAACUCCAUAUGAAUUGACUUCUUAUGGAAAGGUAAUGCAAAGAAAAGGAAGAUUCACUUAGUUAAAUGGCAAAUGGUUACAAAUGAUAAGAAAGAGGGAGGUUUGGGAGUGAAGAAUUUGAGAUUGCACAAUAAAAGCUUAUUGUUUAAAUGGCUGUGGAGAUACAACAAGGGUGGUGAUGGAAUCUAGAAAAGGCUCAUUGAUACUAUCUAUCACAAGAUGGAUGAUUGGAGACAAAGUCCCAUACAGCUGAGGGUUGCAGGGGGAACCUGGAAGGGUAUUAGUGGGGUUGUGGGAAGAAUUCUUGCAACAUACUAAGUGAUGGGAAAUGGGCUAGAAUUAAGUUUUGGAUACUUGGAUUGGGAAUUAUAGUUUGAGAAGCAGAUUUCCAGAUUUAUUCAGUUGUUCUGUGAAUAUGGAUGGCUUUGUAUCUGAUUUUCUCUGAGUCAGGAAGGCAAAUACAAUUCUGGAGAAACUUAAAUGAUUGGGAGAUAGAAGGUUACCGUCAACUCAUUCAACAGUUGGAGUCAAUUUCAGUGGAUCAAAAUUAGGAGGAUGGUUUGAUUUGGGUGAAUAAUAAGGACAAUAUGUUUGUUAAUACUUGCUAUAAGCUGCUACAUAAUCUUUCUGGUCAGGGGUUCCAAAUUGGCCUUGGAAGAGUAUCCAGAGAACUAAGGUCCCUGUCAAAGCUGCCUGUUUUGGAUGGAUUGUCACCUGGGAGGCUUGCUUAACUCAGAAUAAUUUACAGAAGAUGGGUUUUGCUCUUAGUAGUAUAAGGGUCUGAGUGUUUAGUUUCCUAGCAGUAUUAAAAAUGAAAAUACAUAUUUUGCUCAUUUAGGAUUUUAGGCGCUGAUCGUUCAGAUGGGAAAUUCUCAGUUGUGCAGUUUCAAGUGUCAAUAUGUCUAUACUUGAAGAUUCAUAAAUAUAGCCUCUCAAUUACAUUUUUAGGUGGAUGGAUAAUUUACCCUAGAGAUUAAGAAGAAAAAGGGACAGAAGAAAAUGUGUUAUUUUUGUGAUAGAUGCAAUGGAAUGGACAUAGUCUCAUUUACUUGGAAAAAGAGAAGGGAAAUAAAGUGGAACCAACAUAAAUGCGGAGGAGGUACAGAUAAAUAGUCGAUUUUUUCCUUGGGCUUGUAGUUCUUUUUCUUUUUUUUGGUAAUUAAUCACUUUGUAUUAAUCACCGGUAUAACUGUACAAAGCCAUAACAUCGCUUACACAACUAGCUAUCUCAUUACAAAUCCAACAACCUAUGUAAACAUGUAGACUACAAAAUCAAACAAACAUAAAACUCUGUACUAAUCUAUGUAUUCCAGUAGCAGCUCUAAUGUCGCAAAUGUAGGCUAUUUCGCGUGCAAUGGUAUUCCAUUCUCUCGGCCUUUUCCAAAAAUCCUUAGAUUCCUCUCAAUCCAAAUGGCAUGUGAUAUUUCUGCAUAAACCAUCCGAAAUAGUUUGGCUCUUUGGGAGUUUCCUUUAGCAUUCUGAAGUACCCACUGCAGGUGUUGCUCCCAAGUAUUUGUUGUCCUAUAUCCGUGCUGCAUCCAGUGCAUGAUCUUACUCCAUAAGCUCUUGGUAAAGACACAUUUUACAAACAUAUGCUCCCUACUUUCAUCAUGAUCAUGACAUAGUGCACAUUGUGUCUCCACAGCCAUUCCCCAUUGUCGAAGCCUAUCUGUAGUGAGAAGCCUGCCAUGUAAUAGCAUCCACAUGGUAAAUUGUGCUUUAGGCCUUGCAUUGUUUUGAAACAUUAAACAUUUUCAAUUCACACGAGGCCUAUCGCCCAGCAACUGUAAGUAUAUGUGCAUGGUCAAACUAGUCCCAGAGUUAUUCCCUUUGCACCUGGUUCAUAGUUGCUCGAGCAUUAAAGAUAGGUCUGAUUAUCCAACAAGCUUGCUUAGGCAUUGCUACUUGCAAAAAUUGCUGUUCUUUGAUGUAGUAGGAGGGGAUCCAUUUGAUCCACAACCUGUCUUGUUUAUUUUCCACAUCCCAACACACUUUGGCAAUAGCAGCUUUGUUCCACAAUUGAAUAUUCACUAGAUUCAGGCCUCCACUAGACUUAGGAGAACAAAUCUUCUCCCAUGAUACCAGGGCCUUCUUAGUAAUAUUAUUGGAUGUAAACCAAAUGUAGUUCCUAUAAUAAGCAUCCAUAAGCUUCAACACCUUGACAGGAAGUGGAAGCAGUUGAGCCCUUAUCUUCUCCUCCAACCGCUACCUCCUCCCGACAUGAAGGAAUGCCCAAUAAUCCUUCAAGGGCUGGUAUGUCCUUUCAGUUCUGGUCCGGGGAAGGCCGAUCAAAGAAAGGACUCCAAUACUGCCUGGUGCUGAUUCAGCAAUUUGCAUCCAGUAAGCUUGGAUGCCAAAUACCACACUUUGCACUAACUGUACCCUCCCUGCAUAGGAUAGUUUCUUAGCUGUCCACGAGGAUAUUCUUGCCACUAUCUUUUGAAUAAGGGGCUGCCAUUGAAUCAGUGAGAUCUUCUUAGUUGAUAGUGGUAUGCCCAAAUAUUUGAAAGGCAAUUCUCCAUGCCCAUAACCAGGUGUUUUAGAAUUCUAGUUCUCUCAGGUGGAGAGACCCCUCAAAAGUACACAGAGCUUUUUCCCAAGCUGGCUUGGAGUCUUGAAGAUUGUGAGAAAUGGCCGAAGCAUCUAUACAUGGCAUCAACUGACGAUACUGUUGCUGAGGACGAUGCUAGUGGCUAACGAGUUCGUUGAGUGGAUUCUAUUGCUGAGGAUCUUUAUAUGGUGUGUGGAACAACAAUAUUAGUGAAACUACAUGUCCAUUAGCUAUGUUCUAUACCAUUGGCUCUGGAUGUAGUUGUAAUGUCACAAACAUGCCCGUGAAGCAAAAGUACAAUAAAUAAGCUUGCCUGGAAGAAGGAAAGUUAUUCCGAAAGACAGCAAGCAGUUGUCCGAAGAUGAUCCUGCUGAUCCUAAGCUUGAUAUGUUAUUCAUUUCCUCUUCAAGACAAGCUGAAGAGCUAUCCUUUCCAGCAACCUCUGGUUCAACUUCUAGCUUUUGGUCAUCAUGAGUUAAGACAUGCGGCUUCAUCUCAGAAGAGCACUGGUUUUUCAGGUGGUCCUGUUCUCCAAAGAGGGGUUUCUGAAUGAGUUUGCAAUUCAUUAGUGUUGAAACUUGGUUCAAAAUAUGAAUAUGUUCGUACAGUCUGCAGGUGGGACUUGAAGGACAUACAACAGGUGGCUGAUAAUUGGAUAUAUUUCCUAUUUGGUAUGCAUGCCUUGUCUCGUGAAGCUAACUGAAAAGAUAUGCUGUCUUAGCAACUGUUAUUUGUUUAUUGGACUCAGUUAUGAACGUUCCUUUUUCAGGCGAGAGCUCCCCUGCUAGUGAGAUGCAGCAACUACGCACUUAUGUUUUCUAUCUUACUCUGCUUACGCAUUUAUCUAUCUCAUUGACAAAAUUUCGUGCAUCUAGGCAUAUGUUUUUUCCUUUAUAUCAUGCUUACUGACUUACAAACAAUUGUUAUGCCUCAGUCCCAGGCAAGUUGAGGUGACUAUAUGAAUCUUCAUUGUCCCAUAACGCUCCAUUUAAGCUCAUCUCAUCAUGCUUACUGACGUAAAAAAUACUUAUUUCGUAUUAAAGAUUACUAAGACAUUACACAUGUAUAAUAAUAUAUUAUAUCGUUGGCUUUAUGUACUUCACUAUCUACUUCUCUGUGAUGCCGACUUUUUUUGUUUGUUUGACAUGGGAAGAGAAGAAUGCUGAUCUUAGUUGUGUGCAUAUUCCUCCUGUAUCCAUUUAGUGGCAUGAUACUUUAGGGGUUCUUUCUUAUGAUACUCUAGCAUAAUUGGAUAUAGAAUUUGAUUAUAAACUUCACCACUGCAGAUGGGAAAUAUAACACAUGGUGCCUGCGAGACUUAGUUUUUGUGGUUCUUAAUGGUUUAGUAAAGCUAGCGUUUCAUCUAAAAAUAAUGAAGAAUUUUAUGAAAGAAUCUCAGUGGCUCGUGCUUAGCAGCAGCUAUGAGUUUGUUCUUGUUUGCCUAACAAGAUAGGGAAAAUCCAAUCUAAAGAUGAUCCUAUUAUGAAGCAUAUGCUGUAUCGAAAAUACCUUAAGUUUAUAACUACAACUCAAUUUCGUGCACAUGACAAUUUUUAGAGGGAGGGUCUUUUCUUAAUUGAGGUAUGAUUUAAACCAACUCCAAUUGCAAGGUGGAGUAGAUGCUCGGCAUCAACGCAUGCCUUGGCUUGUCUUAAUUUUUAGAUCUAUCAACUACUUAGUGUUACAUCUCUGUGACACAUCAGGUGUCUACCUUUUGGUGUUUUUUCUGUCUUCUCUAAUGUAACCAAAUCUUAGUUAUAACAUGGAUUCACAACUAUUAUGCUAGGAAUGUUUCUUCCCAGAUCUACUUCCUAUCCAACAUAACUUGGAGAAGUUUGAAUAUACUAGUAAAUAUGUGUUUGGCAAAUUGAUUCUUGUAAUACUGGUAUUUCCCUUGCUUGUCAAAAUCAUUAACUCUACAAUCUCAGGGUAUGUACAUCAGUAUGAAAGAAAUUUGCUUCUGUUGCCACGAUUCAAGUGCUUCUUGGUUGUUUUUUCACUGUUCCCAUCUCUUGCAAAAAUCAAUCUUGAUAACAUUAAAGCUCUCCUUGUUUCAAUCAGCUUAAUCUUGUGAAAACAUUCUUGAUUGCACUUGUGAUGUUUUCAGUUCAUAUUGUUCUAAGUAGCGCAUUAUUGUUAUUGCUGCUUUUGAGGGAUUACACACACACACACACACACUGUCAUCAUGUUUGUUAUCGGCUAGUAUAACAUGUUUGAAGCUUAUAGUGGCUAAAUGCUAAACUUCUGUCUGUCUUCAGAUGCAGGUACAAAGCAGAUGUUUUGGCUUAGCCUCUGCAUUUUCGUGAUGACUUAACUAGGUAGACUUGAACAGACCUUUCCUUUUGUAAUUGGAGAAUCUCUGAGUAGGUUUUGGAAAAUCUGCAGUGUUUAGAGCUAGGACACGCUUUGCUAUGGAGUUUAAUAAAUUGCACAGUUGCAUUAUUAA